AUUGAACGCUGGCGGCAGGCCUAACACAUGCAAGUCGAACGAGUGGCGGACGGGUGAGUAAUGUCUGGGAAACUGCCCGAUGGAGGGGGAUAACUACUGGAAACGGUGGCUAAUACCGCAUACCAUCGGAUGUGCCCAUAUGGGAUUAGCUAGUAGGUGGGGUAAUGGAUCACCAAGGCGACGAUCCCUAGCUGGUCUGCGAGGAUGACCAGCCACACGGGAACGGAGACACGGUCCAGACUCAUACGGGAGGCAGCAGUGGGGAAUAUUGGACAAUGGGCGCAAGCCUGAUGCAGCCAUGCCGCGUGUGUGAAGAAGGCCUUCGGGUUGUAAAGCACUUUCAGCGGGGAAGCGUUACCCGCAGAAGAAGCACCGGCUAACUACGUGCCAGCAGCCGCGGUAAUUC
rnacentral:rRNA from 1 species